rnacentral:lncRNA from 1 species
AUGUUUCAUGCAUCAUGAUUAUGCAAUAGGAUGAUUGCAUUAGUUUUCACGAAUAUGCCGCAUUGCAUAAAUUAUUGUUGAUGUGGGUGAAUGUCGGAUGACCCAGUUAGUCCAUGACAGGAAGACCAGGCCCCAUGCUACAGGCCUGGCACAGAGUAAGAAAGACCAGGCCCCAGUCUACAGGCCUGGCACAGAGUAAGGGAAGACCAGGGUCCCAUCCUAUGGUCUAGUACGGUUAUGGGACUUGAAGACCAGGAGCCAGAGGAGGCCCUGGGAAAAAUGGUAAGUAACGUAUGUUCUGACAGGAAAGACCAGGACCCCAUUCUACAGGCCUGGCACAGAGUUAACUUGGAC